rnacentral:rRNA from 1 species
UACGUAGGGCGCAAGCGUUGUCCGGAAUUAUUGGGCGUAAAGAGCUCGUAGGCGGUUUGUCACGUCGGAUGUGAAAAGCCCGGGGGCUUAACCCCCGGGUCUGCAUUCGAUACGGGCAGACUAGAGUGUGGUAGGGGAGAUCGGAAUUCCUGGUGUAGCGGUGAAAUGCGCAGAUAUCAGGAGGAACACCGGUGGCGAAGGCGGAUCUCUGGGCCAUUACUGACGCUGAGGAGCGAAAGCGUGGGGAGCGAACAGG